ACCCGCUUGGUGAAAUUGGUAUACACGGCAGAUUCAAAAUCUGCACCCAGAUUUGGGUUAUCGGUUCGAGUCCGUUAACGGGUA
rnacentral:tRNA from 1 species